rnacentral:rRNA from 1 species
CCUACGGAGGCAGCAGUGGGGAAUAUUGGACAAUGGGGGCAACCCUGAUCCAGCCAUGCCGCGUGUGUGAAGAAGGCCCUCGGGUUGUAAAGCACUUUCAGUGAGGAAGAACGCCUGGUGGUUAAUACCCAUCAGGAAAGACAUCACUCACAGAAGAAGCACCGGCUAACUCCGUGCCAGCAGCCGCGGUAAUACGGAGGGUGCGAGCGUUAAUCGGAAUUACUGGGCGUAAAGCGCGCGUAGGUGGCUUGAUAAGCCGGUUGUGAAAGCCCCGGGCUCAACCUGGGAACGGCAUCCGGAACUGUCAAGCUAGAGUGCAGGAGAGGAAGGUAGAAUUCCCGGUGUAGCGGUGAAAUGCGUAGAGAUCGGGAGGAAUACCAGUGGCGAAGGCGGCCUUCUGGACUGACACUGACACUGAGGUGCGAAAGCGUGGGUAGCAAACAGGAUUAGAUACCCCGGUAGUC